rnacentral:rRNA from 1 species
CCUACGGGCGGCAGCAGUGAGGAAUAUUGGUCAAUGGGCGGAAGCCUGAACCAGCCAAGUCGCGUGAGGGAAUAAGGCCCUACGGGUCGUAAACCUCUUUUGCCGGGGAGCAAGGGCGGGGACGUGUCCCGGCCCGGAGAGUACCCGGAGAAAAAGCAUCGGCUAACUCCGUGCCAGCAGCCGCGGUAAUGCGGAGGAUGCGAGCGUUAUCCGGAUUUAUUGGGUUUAAGGGGCGCGUAGGCGGGUUUUUAAGUCAGCGGUAAAAGUUUGGGGCUUAACCGUGACAGGGCGUUUAAACUGGGCAGCAGUGAGUACAGAUGAGGUAGGCGGAAGUCGGGGGGUAGCGGGGAAAUGCUGAGA